GACGAACGCUGGCGGCGUGCCUAACACAUGCAAGUCGAACGGAACUGUUUUGAAAGAUUUCUUCGGAAUGAAUUUGAUUUAGUUUAGUGGCGGACGGGUGAGUAACGCGUGAGUAACCUGCCUUCAAGAGGGGAAUAACAUUCUGAAAAGAAUGCUAAUACCGCAUGACAUAUCGGAACCACAUGGUUUUGCUAUCAAAGAUUUUAUCGCUUGAAGAUGGACUCGCGUCCGAUUAGUUAGUUGGUGAGGUAACGGCUCACCAAGACCGCGAUCGGUAGCCGGACUGAGAGGUUGAACGGCCACAUUGGGACUGAGACACGGCCCAGACUCCUACGGGAGGCAGCAGUGGGGGAUACUGCGCAAUGGGGGCAACCCUGACGCAGCAACGCCGCGUGAAGGAUGAAGGUUUUCGGAGUGUAAACUUCUUUUAUUAAGGACGAAAAAUGAGGGUACUUAAUGAAUAAGCUCCGGCUAACUACGUG
rnacentral:rRNA from 1 species